AAAGCAUCUAAGCGGGAAGCCUGUUCCUAGAUGAGGUCUCCCACCCGUCAUGGGUUAAGGCCCCCACCAGACCAGUGGGUUGAUAGGCCAGAAAUGGAAGCGCAGCAAUGCGUGGAGUUGACUGGUACUAAUAGGCCGAGGACUUGCCCACAA
rnacentral:rRNA from 1 species